GGAUGUAUCUGGUGAGUUGGCUUUACUUGUUGAGGGUCUUGGAGUUGGGGGUGAGACCUCUCUUGAGGAAUACAUAAUUGGUCCUGCAGACGACCUUGCUGACCAAGAUCUAUUGACUGACAAAGAUGAAAUCAAAUUAUAUGGACCUGAACAAGGACUCUCCUGGGUUGCUAGGCCGGUUACAGGACAGAGUUCUCUUGGCCUAGUGUCUCGGCAUGGAAGCGUUAUAAAUCAGAGUGGGCUUAUCGAUCCUCUUGUCAC
rnacentral:misc_RNA from 1 species